rnacentral:rRNA from 1 species
UACGUAGGUGGCGAGCGUUGUCCGGAAUUACUGGGUGUAAAGGGAGCGUAGGCGGGUCGGCAAGUCAGUGGUGAAAUACAUGGGCUUAACCCAUGAAUUGCCAUUGAAACUGCCGGUCUUGAGUGGAUCAGAGGCAAGCGGAAUUCCGAGUGUAGCGGUGAAAUGCGUAGAUAUUCGGAGGAACACCAGUGGCGAAGGCGGCUUGCUGGGGUCUAACUGACGCUGAGGCUCGAAAGUGUGGGGAGCAAACAGGAUUAGAUACCCGGGUA